rnacentral:snRNA from 1 species
CAGAACAAUGCAGAGAUUAGCACAGCCCCUGCACAGGGGUGACUUGCAAACUUAUGAAGCAUUCCAUAUAUUA